rnacentral:rRNA from 1 species
UGGGGAAUCUUGCACAAUGGGGGAAACCCUGAUGCAGCGACGCCGCGUGAGCGAUGAAGCCCUUCGGGGUGUAAAGCUCUUUCGGCAGGAACGAUAAUGACGGUACCUGAAGAAGAAGCUGCGGCUAACUACGUGCCAGCAGCCGCGGUAAUACGUAGGCAGCAAGCGUUGUUCGGAGUUACUGGGCGUAAAGAGUGCGUAGGCGGUCCUCUAAGUUUGGUGUGAAAUCUCCCGGCUCAACCGGGAGGGUGCGCCGAAAACUGGGGGGCUCGAGUGUGGGAGAGGUAAGCGGAAUUCCUGGUGUAGCGGUGAAAUGCGUAGAUAUCAGGAGGAACACCUGUGGUGUAGACGGCUUACUGGACCAUUACUGACGCUGAGGCACGAAAGCGUGGGUAGCAAACA